rnacentral:misc_RNA from 1 species
AGAAUAUGAUGCUGAAGAUGAGGACGUCUAUGCAUCUGCUUAUGACUUUGAAGAAACUUUUGUACAAGACCAAGAAGUUGAAGAGCCACCAAGACCCAGCACAGACCAUCAGCCAAAAUUGGCCUGGAAGGAGCAAGGUGUUCUUCCCGGAUUCAGAGUUGCAUCAAAUUCUGAUUAUGCAUUGGAAAGAUUUGAUCCUCCCAAAAUUCCGAAGGAUUUUGUGCCCCAUCACAAAUUUCCUGGUCCCCUUAAUGCUGAUGACAAGCACACUAUUCCUCCUCCACCGGAGGUUCUGCCUCCUGUUGACAAUAAUAUGAAGCUCUUAAUUGAGGGGGUUGCAACUUUGGUUGCUCGAUGUGGUAAAUUAUUUGAGGAUCUUUCCCGAGAGAAAAAUCAAUCAAAUCCAAUAUUUAGUUUUCUUAAUGGAGGA